CCUACGGGAGGCAGCAGUGGGGAAUAUUGGACAAUGGGCGAAAGCCUGAUCCAGCCAUGCCGCGUGUGUGAAGAAGGCCUUCGGGUUGUAAAGCACUUUCAGUGGGGAAGAAAGCCUUGGGGCUAAUACCCUCGAGGAAGGACAUCACCCACAGAAGAAGCACCGGCUAACUCCGUGCCAGCAGCCGCGGUAAUACGGAGGGUGCGAGCGUUAAUCGGAAUUACUGGGCGUAAAGCGCGCGUAGGCGGUCUGAUAAGCCGGUUGUGAAAGCCCCGGGCUCAACCUGGGAACGGCAUCCGGAACUGUCAGGCUAGAGUGCAGGAGAGGAAGGUAGAAUUCCCGGUGUAGCGGUGCAAUGCGUAGAGAUCGGGAGGAAUACCAGUGGCGAAGGCGGCCUUCUGGACUGACACUGACGCUGAGGUGCGAAAGCGUGGGUAGCAAACAGGAUUAGAUACCCCAGUAGUC
rnacentral:rRNA from 1 species